GUAAUGGGGAACCUCUAAAGCUUCUUGAUCAGGGAGAUGAAGAUGGCAGAUCUGUGAUGAAGGAAGCUUAUUUUGGCCAUUGUAUGGAGGAUUAUUUGGAGAGGGAGACUGGAAGCAGGCAAGCCAAUUAGGAUACUAUUGCAAUAGUCUGGAUAAAAUGAUGAAGCCCUGAACUAGCCUGAUCAGAGUUGGAACUCUGGAUCUCAAGUCAGAGAAUCUGAAUCCCAAUUCUCCAAUUUUCCAUUUUCCCACAACUGGUUUGUGGUCCCCAAGACCUCUUCUGUCUCCACAUCUAUGAUGCUAGAAAUUUGGGUAGCAUCUUGGUUUGUAGUGGACGAUUGCCAACGUACCUUGGGAAUUAGUGGUCGGUGGCCGCCAUUUUUCCAGGAACCCUGUGAAGUCUGGAGAAGAAUGCUGGCAGGACACACCUCAAGUUAACAGGUUCUAUGAAAUAAUUCUUUGGGAGUUUGAUUGGUAUGGCACUGAACAAUUGAGAAAAAGGAGAGGUUAAAUGCCUUGAUCAAAAGCACACAAAUAGUUAAAGGAGAAACCAAUAUUAGAAGAGAAUUUUUUGACUGCAGUUGGAUUCUCCUCCCACAUACAGGGAUGCCUCAGAUGGAUGAAGUAUUGGCCUCCUCUACUAGAAACAAAGAAACAACUAAUUUAUGGUUCAAAACAUCAAGAACCCAUCAUUUUUUUUCCUAUGUGAGUAUUUGCAUCACUAAUACAGAGAAAAGGCAGCCCCUGUGGGUUACUAUAGUCAAGAAAACUCAUCAACUGGUGCAUGUUUCCAUACUUUGUCAAGCUGGUCCUUAGAAAUCUAACAUGUGGUCUGCCAUGAGACCAAUUCUUUGAGCCCUCCUGGAUUGGGAGAUGUGCCAAAGCUUGAGAUCCAUAGGCUUAGCCUUCCAAAAUCUCGAGUGUACCUUGCCCCACCAAAAUGAAGCGUAGGAAUGGAAACUGACCAAAAUCCAUUCAUUCACUCCAUUCUCGUGGGGACUGCAAAAGCCCCCUGCCCCUAAAAGCAGCUUCUCAUUUAUAAUUUAGAACUAUAAAUAGAUAGAUAUAGUCCCUACCCUCAAGGAAUUCAUACUGGAAGCAUAUUUUCUUCUUUCUUUACCUCUCUCCUGUUCUCUCUUUUCUCUCUUCUUUCCCAGAAGAGCUGACCUCACUCUUUAUGGUUUUUGUUUUGUUUUGUUUUUGAGAAGCAGCCAGAGGUCAAGAGAGGACCAGGCACAGAAGCCCCACCAAAAAAGAAAAAAAAAAGGGAAGCAUAUGAUGAAAGGAAGCCCAUCAUGACAGCUGGUACCUAAGAAAAAUGUCCAGCACUAGCAGGAACCCAAGUGGUAUUAGAGCAAUCCCUUACCACCGCAUCUGAAGAUUCAUUUCCAUUCUAUUCAACAGGCAAUUGUUAAGGGCCUGUUCUCUAUCAGAGGCAGCCCAAUGUGAUGGCCUGAGAGCUGGCCUCAAAGCCACCCUCAAGAGGUCAGUCAGGUCCUGCCUUGGACACAUUUUGGCUGUGUAACCCUGUAGGGAACUCCAAUUACGUGUAGCCAAGAAGAUGCUGACCCACAUUGGUAGAAUUUUAUCAUUAAAACCAUCAACUACUC
rnacentral:lncRNA from 1 species